CUGUUGGCGUUUCUUCGCUGUUCAAAGUAAGCCUUUGAUUCUCAAUCUUUAGGGCUUUUGUUUAUAUCACGGGAUCAGUUCAGGUCCUUUUUUGUUCUUCUGUAUCGCUGCGAUCGGCGUUUCUUCCGCUCUCCUCGUCUCUCUCUGCUUCAGAAAAAUCAAAUCUUCAGUCGCCAAUUUAAAAAAUAAAAUAAAAAAUUCGGAGAGUCCGAUAUGAGGAAAAUAUACAACUUGCCUCCACCGGAGGCCAAACACCUGUUUACCUAUCUCCAACGGCUCGGGGUGAGGACCAAUCUUGACGCUUAUUCUCAGGAAAAGGCUAUCGAUGCUACCGACUCCUUCUUCAAACAAGUCAGUGAUUGGCGUCAACCUACGAUAAUCGGUUCGAUCGCCUUUACUAUUCUGACGGAACUCCGUAAAUCUAAGGAGAUAAACGAGGAGAUUAUUAGAAAAGUUGUUCAGUUCUACCCAAAAGUCCCGGGUGCGGAGGAGGAGGAGGAGGAGGAGGAUGAAAUCGAUAAGUUGGCGGCGGCUUUAGGGUCGGAGGCCGAGGAGGAGACGGAGCAGGAGCCGGAGCCGGAGGUUGAGGAUCUUCCUGAUCCCGAUGAUUUUGAUUUUGAUUUAGUAGGAGACUGCAUGGAUAGGGCAAAGGAGGCAGAAGCGACAGAACAAGACAGGAAAGAGUUGUUGAAACAGUGCAGUGAAAUGGGGUGCCGAUUGAAACAAGGCGACGAACAGAAGAUCCUCGAUCUGAUGAUUCCUUUCUUGAGCAGCAAUUUUACACGAUUCUCAUCUGAUAUAACUGAUCGGACAAUCUGCAUGACUGCAUCGAAGCAUUCAUGGAACAUUUCCAAGAUUAUAUCAAUCGUUCUUGCAUCCUGAACGACUUGGGGACGGUGAACCGCGCCAUUCAGACUGUGAAUAAGUUAAUGCAAGUAGAAGAAGAUUGGAAAAAGGAGCAGCAUCAGAGUGUUAGCAGAAUGUUAAAGAAGGAUAUCGUAUUAACUAAAGAAGAAGGGAUUGCUACGCCCAUAUACCUCUUAAAACAAGAAUAGAAAAGAGAACGUGGAGAUAUGGAACAUGACGAAUCCAAAAAAAGAAAAUAUGUGGAAUGUUAAUUUCUGCCUCACACAGCCGUAAG